UACGUAGGGUGCAAGCGUUGUUCGGAUUCAUUGGGCGUAAAGGGUGCGUAGGCGGCGCGGUAAGUCGGGUGUGAAAUCUCGGAGCUUAACUCCGAAACUGCAUUCGAUACUGCCGUGCUUGAGGACUGGAGAGGGGACUGGAAUUUACGGUGUAGCGGUGAAAUGCGUAGAUAUCGUAAGGAAGACCAGUGGCGAAGGCGGGUCUCUGGACAGUUCCUGACGCUGAGGCACGAAGGCCAGGGGAGCAAACGGG
rnacentral:rRNA from 1 species